rnacentral:rRNA from 1 species
AAUAGAUACCCAGGUAGUCCACGCCGUAAACGAUGAGUGCUAAGUGUUAGAGGGUUUCCGCCCUUUAGUGCUGAAGUUAACGCAUUAAGCACUCCGCCUGGGGAGUACGGCCGCAAGGCUGAAACUCAAAGGAAUUGACGGGGGCCCGCACAAGCGGUGGAGCAUGUGGUUUAAUUCGAAGCAACGCGAAGAACCUUACCAGGUCUUGACAUCCUCUGACAACCCUAGAGAUAGGGCUUCUCCUUCGGGAGCAGAGUGACAGGUGGUGCAUGGUUGUCGUCAGCUCGUGUCGUGAGAUGUUGGGUUAAGUCCCGCAACGAGCGCAACCCUUGAUCUUAGUUGCCAUCAUUAAGUUGGGCACUCUAAGGUGACUGCCGGUGACAAACCGGAGGAAGGUGGGGAUGACGUCAAAUCAUCAUGCCCCUUAUGACCUGGGCUACACACGUGCUACAAUGGACGGUACAAAGAGCUGCAAGACCGCGAGGUGGAGCUAAUCUCAUAAAAACCGUUCUCAGUUCGGA